AAAGUAAGUGUAGUACCAUGGCCAAGGAACAAAAGGCAAAGUUUUAUAUUGUAAAAAGGUGCAUCGCGAUGCUUGUACGAUGGAACAAGCAUGACAAGCACGGAGAUUCUUGACAGCGACUUAACUUUUAUCAGCGAUCCUAGGAUUGUGGCACCUUUUGUUAUGUGGCAGCUAGAUCGAUUUAACUUUUAUCAGCGAUCCUAGGAUUGUGGCACCUUUUGUUAUGUGGCAGCUAGACUUUACUUGCCACAAAAAGUCUGAUUUCUUGUAGUCAUGAAGAUAAUGAUAGUGAAUUUAAUUUCUGCAAGGAAGAGUCUUACUUUCUCCUAAUUUUCCUUCUACUUGCAAGAUGAAUCUUGGUUUAAUUUGUGAUUAAGAUAAGUUUCUGUUGCACCUUAGUAUUGAGAAGAAUAUAGAUCAUAGUAAAAACUCUUUCUCUGUAUUUGGAUUAGAAUGUAACUUCAGCAGGGAGAGCUGCAGUGAAACUACAAGGGUACCACAUUGCAAAAAAAUUGUAAUAUAUGAUAGUAUCAAUAUUGAUUAAAUUAGCAUUAUUGCAUUCUGCUAAAAACUAUGUCACAUGGUGUUACAAGAAAAUAGGUUUUCAUUGUCUGCCCCCCCCCCCCCCCCAACAAGCAUGACAAGCACGGAGAUUCUUGACAGCGACUGAACUUUUCUCAACAACCCUAAGGUUGUUGCGGCCUUUGCAGUUUCUGUAGCAGCUAGAUUUUAGCUGCCACAAAAAGUCUGAUUUCUUGUAGUCAUGAAGAUAAUGAUAGUAAAUUUAAUUUCUGCAUGGAAGAGUCUUAUUUUCUCCUAAUUUUCCUUCUACUUGCAAGAUGAAUCUUGGUUUAAUUUGUGAUCAAGAUAAGUUUCUCUUGCACCUUAGUAUUGAGAAGAAUAU
rnacentral:lncRNA from 1 species